AAUAGUCAUACAAAAUUAAUGUCUAAAGUAGAACAACUCUAAAUUUUUUUUAACAUAUUAAAUACAUUUAAAUUAUAAAUUUUUUAACCUACAUUCAAAAUUUUUUAAAUAAGUGAUACAAAAUUAAUGUCUAAACUAUAGGAAUUUAAAAGUUUCUUAAACAUAUUAAAUAUGUUGAAUUAAAAUAUUUACCAACAUUACAAUUUUUUUAAAUAGUAAUAUAAAAUUCCUCUAAUUUUAAUUACACUUUUAAAUUUUAAAUAUUUAAUAUUUAAAAUUUAAAUUCAUCGUAUUUAGAAAUAAAACUAUUUCUAAAAUUCCUAUAAUUUAAAUUAAUGCAUAAUUUUAGAAACACUAAAACAUUUAAAGUAGAUGCCUAAAUUAAUGCCUAAUAAUUGCAUAAAUUUGGUUAAUUAAUUAAUUUCCUAAAUUAGUGCUAAUUAAUGCGUAAAUUUAGGACCUCAAUUAAAAGUUUCUUUAAAUGUUGUAUUG
rnacentral:lncRNA from 1 species